GACGAACGCUGGCGGCGUGCUUAAUACAUGCAAGUCGAACGAAGUGGCGAUCGGGUGUGUAAUACUUGGGUAACCUGCACUCCUUUUUGGGUUAAGCCUUGGAAACGGGGUCUAAUAUCGAAUAAAGGGGGAUGGGCUGGCGGCCUAUCGGCUUGUUGGUGGGGUGAUGGCCUACCAAGGCGGUGACGGGUAGCCGGCCUGAGGGGGUGACCGGCCACAUUGGGACUGGGAUACGGCCCAGAGUCCUACGGGAAGCAGCAGUGGGGGAUAUUGCACAAUGGGCGAAAGCCUGAUGCAGCGAAGCCGAGUGGGGGAUGAAGGCGUUCGGGUUGUAAGCCUGUGUCGCAAUCGAACGGGUAAGUGGAGAAAAAGCGCCGGCUAACUACGUGCCAGCAGCCGCGGUAAUAC
rnacentral:rRNA from 1 species